rnacentral:lncRNA from 1 species
UCUCCCAUCCCUAAUGGAAUCUCCUGAUCCCAUUCCCACACUCUUUUCUUGCUCUUCUGGGUUUAUUUUCCCCCAUUUUAUGAGCACACCUCACCUUCACAUGACAGUGUAAUUACAACAUCUCUGCUGCCUCCUUGAACCCACGAUGGUUUUAACCAGGGCAGUUCCCCCCUCUGGAGAGGCAUCCAGUGUUCCUAAGUGCUGUUGUCUUCCUUUCCAGGCUCCCAGUGACUUUAUUGCAAGGACAAGCAGGUGAGCAGGCACACAGUGAACAGCAGCAGAGCUGCACUGAAGGUUUUUACCAUUUUGGUUCUUGCAGACACACAGGAACAAACGCUUGGAAGUUGGGAAUGGGAUGGAAGAGGGUUUAGAGAAAAGCAGGAAUGUCCCAGUUUGAACUCCAGCCAAGAGGCAGCUCCUCCCAGGGCCCAUCACUGCCACUCCUUCUGCUCACCCAGAACCAUGGAAUCAAGGGGACAGAAACCAAAUCCUUUCCUGCUCUGGACACCAGAAGAAACCUCCCUUGGAAGGGUUUCACUUCCGUGUAUUUCUCUUUCCCGAAGCCACGACAGAUCGUGGCCAAGCUGUGGAGAAGUGACACAGUUUUGGAUGGGCCUCCAGAGCAUCCUGGAGGUUUGGUUUAUUUACCUGGACAGGCAAUCACUCCAGGGAAUCAUUCCAGUUCCUCUCCAGCACAAUUCCCAGCUGCUCCUCAGCCUUUCCUCUCUAUGAAGGCCGUGUGCUGCCCCUGCAGGUAACUCACAAUUUUCUCCUCUAUCUCCAUGCCCUGUGCUAGUUCCUCCUCAGAGAGGGACAGGGGGGUCUGUGAGUCGCUGGUGACGAUGAUGACGGAGGUCCUGCGGGAUUCCAGGACGUUGGCCACCACCACCUGGUGCCGGUACUUCUCCAGAGCCUGCCGGGACUUGUCGAUCAGGAUCUGGGGAUCCGUCUCCAGCUUGAAGGAAAUCACAAAGGCCUCAGGGGCCCAGUCUCUGACCAGGGGGGACAGCAUUUUUGGCACCAUCUUCAUUGUGAUCUGUGAAGGACAAAAGAACCCCUCAGCCGAAACGUCACAGUGAGUUUUAGUAAGAGAGGAAAUUCCAGCUCGCAGCGGGAAGUUCUG